GCACCCCAGCAAACCCUGUCCUCCAGUGUCAGUGUUGGACACGGGAAAUGCCGGUGCCACAGAGAUUCAAAGUAUAUCCAGAUGGACCUCCCUCUUCCAGUGGAGCCUGUCUCUACAACUUUGAAACACAG